UCAAAUUCAACCACUCAGCAUUAUACCUUUUGAUUGAACCUAGUUUUAACUCUCGUCUACCUACACUAUCACUUCUCAGUUGACUCUAUUGUCUGUUUGUAACUUUGGGCUAAUCGACAGGCUUAGCUUUCAACACUGUAGUGAAACCUGGAUAGUAUACUUUUUCUUUGUACGUAGUCAUAGAUUUGUUGAACCGACAGAUUUAUGGGGUCAUCUUACAGCAAUUAAUGAAGUUCAAUUUUAGACCCGAAAGCAUUGGCGUAACCUACGGAUCUAUCACCUUUUACCGACAUGAUCUUGCUGCCAUAUCUACCAAGUGAAGGGUGCAGGCAGAGAUUCCAACGACCGCUUUAAGUGAAAACCAGUUCUACGGAUGCAUACCACGUAAGGUACGGUGCUGGCUACGUGGAGGUGUACGACGUACGGCGUACGGAGGCACUGGAGGCUGCUACGACACAAAAUAGAUGGAAACCCUAAGGUUUCUGGACAUGUCAAACUUUGGGCCACUUAGGCCUGUGUUUUUGUGGUCUAGGGUUUUAAUUUUAGGCUAAAGUUAUUUUAUUUUCAAGUAUUGGGCCUUUUUGGGUUUGUAAAGUUUUGAGUUUUAGGUGUUUGGAUUUUGGGUUUAAGAUUAGGCUUAGUGUACUGGACUUUAUUUAAUGAACUGUAAAAUUGGACAUUUAUUUGAUUUGGUUUAUUGGGUCUGUUGGGCCCAGGCGAGUUUGGCUCAUUACAGAAAAUAUACCAAAUAUUUUCUCAUAA